rnacentral:rRNA from 1 species
AGAGCGAACGCUGGCGGCGUGGAUUAGGCAUGCAAGUCGAACGGGAUCAGGCCGCAAGGUUUGAUUCAGUGGCGAAAGGGCGAGUAAUACAUCGAUCAUCUGCCCCAGGGCCCGGAACAACACUUGGAAACGAGUGCUAAUACCGGAUGGUCCAGAAAUGGUAAACGGCGGGGACCGCAAGGCCUGCCGCCCAGGGAGGAGUCGAUGGCCUAUCAGCUUGUUGGUGAGGUAACGGCUCACCAAGGCGAAGACGGGUAGCCGGACUGAGAGGUUGGUCGGCCGCACUGGGACUGGGACACUGCCCAGACUCCUACGGGAGGCUGCAGUCGAGGAUCUUCCGCAAUGGGGGCAACCCUGACGGAGCGACGCCGCGUGCAGGAUGAAGGCCUUCGGGUCGUAAACUGCUGUCACACGUUAUGAAAAAGUGUGAGUUAAUACCUCACACCUUGACAAAGGCGUGAAAGGAAGCCACGGCUAACUUCGUGCCAGCAGCCGCGGUAAGACGAAGGUGGCUAGCGUUGCUCGGAAUUACUGGGCAUAAAGCGCGCGUAGGUGGUCGUGUAAGCGGGAGAUGAAAGCCCAUGGCUCACCCAUGGAACUGUCCCCCGGACUGCACGGCUCGAGGAAGGAAGGGGAGAAUGGAAUUCCCGGUGUAGCGGUGAAAUGCGUAGAUAUCGGGAGGAACGCCGGUGGCGAAAGCGAUUCUCUGGUCCUUUCCUGACACUGAGGCGCGAGAGCUAGGGGAGCAAACAGGAUUAGAUACCCUGGUAGUCCUAGCUGUAAACGAUGGGCACUAGGUAGAGGGGGUGUCGAUACUCUCUCUGUCGUAGCAAAUGUGUUAAGUGCCCCGCCUGGGGAGUACGGUCGCAAGG